CCUACGGGAGGCAGCAGUGAGGAAUAUUGGUCAAUGGGCGCGAGCCUGAACCAGCCAAGUCGCGUGAGGGAAGACGGUCCUAUGGAUUGUAAACCUCUUUUGUCGGGGAGCAAAAAGCGCUACGUGUGCCGUUCCGAGAGUACCCGGAGAAAAAGCAUCGGCUAACUCCGUGCCAGCAGCCGCGGUAAUACGGAGGAUGCGAGCGUUAUCCGGAUUUAUUGGGUUUAACGGGUGCGCAGGCGGCAGUUUAAGUCAGCGGUAAAAUUGCGGGGCUCAACCUCUACGAGCCGUUGAAACUGGUUUGCUAGAGUGGGCGAGAAGUAUGCGGAAUGCGUGGUGUAGCGGUGAAAUGCAUAGAUAUCACGCAGAACUCCGAUUGCGAAGGCAGCAUACCGGCGCCCAACUGACGCUCAGGCACGAAAGUGUGGGUAUCGAACAGGAUUAGAUACCCUGGUAGUC
rnacentral:rRNA from 1 species